UGUGUUUCCUGCCUGGCUGCCAACACACUCCAGGGAUGUGACAGCUUCACAAAUUUAAUGAGGCUACAGCAGAAGGACAGUCUAUCUAUCUAUCUAUCUAUCUAUCUAUCUAUCUAUCGUUCUAUCUAUCGUUCUAUCUAUCGUUCUAUCGUUCUAUCUAUCGUUCUAUCUAUCUAUCUAUCGUUCUAUCUAUCUAUCUAUCGUUCUAUCUAUCAUUCUAUCAUUCUAUCUACCAUUCUAUCGUGUUAUUGUUCUAUCUAUCUAUCUAUCUAUCUAUCUAUCGAUCAUUCUAUCUAUCUAUCUACCGUUCUAUCGUGUUAUUGUUCUACCAUUCUGUCUAUCUAUCUAUCUAUCUAUCUAUCUAUCUAUCUAUCGUUUUAUCGUUCUAUCUAUCUAUCUAUCGUUCUAUCAUUCUAUCUAUCUAUCUAUCUAUCUAUCUAUCUAUCUAUCUAUCUAUCUAUCGUUUUAUCGUUCUAUCUAUCUAUCUAUCGUUCUAUCAUUCUAUCUAUCUAUCUAUCUAUCGUUCUAUCUAUCGUUCUAUUGUUCUGAAAAUGUCUUGGGUGUUUGAGGUUUAAUUCAGUGAUGUCCUGAACCCGGAGAACAGACCACAGAAGAGGUCCUUCAGGUCCUUCUGAUCACCAUCAAACCCGCCUGUCUGGCUCGUCGGUUGUCACUCUGGCGCCUGUUUUUAUCAGCUGCUUUAGGAUGACAUACUCGGGGGGGUAUCAGGUCGAGCGUGUCGAACUGAUCUGAAAAUCCCCCCCAGCAUGUAAAAUGUAAAAUGCAUGAGAGCGCGGCGGCGCUCUGGGUGUUUGGGACGAUACCUGGAGGUAAUCUGUGGCUGUGAAAAGCAGCUCGACUGUCAGACUGUCUGACGGUGUGAUGUGACUGUUGGAGAGGAAGUGGACGUCAGGAACAAAAUUAUUUAAAAAAGCAGUUUUUUUUAUGUCCAGCAGGGGGCGACUCCACUGGUGCAAUAAAUGAACUUCCCAGUUGAUUCAAAGUCAACAAACAUCUGGAUCUUAACGACAAAAUCUUCUGUGCUGGAGCAACGGACAGAAAAAGAAACAACAUGACAAUGGUGCAAUUAAAUCAUUACUAUAGUUUUCUCAGUUGGCGCAUUAACAUCCAUUUUGUUGGUGCAAUUAAUUUCAUUAUGUCGGCGAUAUGAGUAACAAUGAUUGGUGCAAUAAUUCAUUAAAGUUACAUUAACUCUUUAAAAUCAAAACUGCUCCUCUUUGGUGCAAUAAUUCGAUCUAAGUCGGUGCACUAAAGCAAACCGUUUUGGUGCAAUGAAUUAUGUGCCGUCGGGUCUGGUGCGAUUAAUUAUUUGAUUCUUGUGUGAUUAAGAACUUGAUGUUGGUGCAAUGUAACACUGUCAAAGUGCAAUGUUGUGAUGCAGUGAAGCACUGUGAUGGGGUGUGAUGAAUUUGCGCUGGUGCAAUAAAUCACUGUCAGUGCGCCGAGUUACAUCAUUGUGAUGACAUGUCUUAGUUUCUCUUAAUGACUUACGGUGCGAUAAAUGUCUUGGGUUUGGCAGUUAAACGCAUUAUUUUAUGCACUAAACUACGAUGUUUUAAAGAAAUAACUUUAUUGUUUUUGUGAAAGAAACAACAAAGUCCAGAUGAAGGAACUGAGUGAACUGCAGUGUGUCGGUGCGAAAGUUUGUCGCAGCGCACCGAUUUACAUUAUUGAAAUACAAUCAUACAGAAUCCAAAAAUGUGUCAAAGUUUGUGAAGUAACUUUUUAAGGAAGACGGAUGAAGGGGCAGCUCUGCGGAAUAUGGCUCCUAACUAGUUCAUAGUCUCUUAUAGUAAAUUGAAUGAAUGAAUAAAUAAAUAAAUAAAUGAAUAAAUAAAGAAUGAAUGAAUGAAGACCUCUGAAAUGUCUUUAACCAACUCUAAGGACUCAUCAGUGAUUAAAACUCAAGAUAAAAAGUUGGUUAUGAAUCUUUUUGUGUUUUUGUUGUUGUUAGUGUGUGUGUGUGUGUGUGUGUGUGUGUGUGUGUGUGUGUGUGUGUGUGUGUGUGUGUGUGUGUGUGUGUGUGUGUGUGUGUGUGUGUGUGUGUGUGUGUGUUGUCCGAAGUCAUUUAGCUCCAAACAUCAUCGUCACUAAUAAGAAGUGAAUAUUAUAAUGUAAUCAGCUGGAGUCAGGAGAUGCAGAGGAGUUUCAGUGUGUGUCAUCAGUAUGUAGAUUGGUGCUGAGGAAGCUGCUGCUGGUUCACUUUGUGAAGAUCAAACUCUAAUUAACUCGUCCUGAAACACACGAGUGAACGCCUGAUCGACGUAAACGUGAGAAUUAAAAAACCAGAGAGGAGAGACCAGGAGGUUUCUGUUCAUGGUCUGGUACUGAGGACCACAAAGAGUGGAAAGACUUACACUGCUCUGGUAGGUUUAGUCCAGUUUGGUUCAUUCCAGUUUGGCUUAUUCCAGUUUGGUAUAGUCCAAUUUGGUUUAUUCCAGUUUGGUUUAGUCCAGUUUGACUUAUUCCAGUUUGGUUUAUUCCAGUUUGGCUUAUUCCAGUUUGGUUCAUUCCAGUUUGGCUUAUUCCUGUUUGGUUUAUUCCAGUUUGUCUUAGUCCAGUUUGGUUUAUUCCAGUUUGGUUCAUUCCAGUUUGGUUUAUUCCAGUUUGGUUCAUUCCAGUUUGGUUUAUUCCAGUUUGGUUCAUUCCAGUUUGGUUUAUUCCAGUUUGGUUCAUUCCAGUUUGGCUUAUUCCAGUUUGGUUUAUUCCAGUUUGGUUUAUUCCUUUUUGUCUUAGUCCAGUUUGGUUUAUUCCAGUUUGGUUUAGUCCAGUUUGUCUUAGUCCAGUUUGGUUUAUUCCUGUUUGUCUUAGUCCAGUUUGGUUCAGUUUGGUUUAGUUUAGACCAGUUUGACUUAUUUCAGUUUGGUUUGGUCCAUUUUUUUCCAGUUUGGAUUUUUCCAAUAUGGCUUAGUCUUGUUUAGUUUGGUCCAGUUUGGCUUAGUCCAGUUUGUUUUUUCCGGUUUGGGUUAUUCCAGUUCGGUUUGGUCCAGUUUUGCUUCUUCCAGUUUGGUUCAGCCAAGUUUGGUUUGGUCCAGUCGGCUCAUUCCAGUUUGGCUUAUUCCAUUUUAAACUGGUCCAGUCCAGUUUGGUCCAGUUUGUUGCUGUAAACCCUGAUCCGGUUUGCGUUCCCACUGCAGACUCUGUCCUGGUCUUGUUCCCGGUCCGUGUCCUGGUUGUGAAGUAAAUUUGUCAAACCUUUAUUUCCAUCUUAGCGAUCAUGUCAGCCGAUCAAUCAGCCUGAGCGGACCCCCUCACCUGAAUUUCCCAUGAGUCUCUGCUCCUCUUUGUGUGUAAAUGAACCCCUGAUGGAUUAUAAGACCUGAGAGUUUUUCUCUGAUGUGAUUAGAAAUCUAAAAUAAAAAAACACACAUUUUUGUUGGUGCUUUUCCUUCUUUAAAGGGUCAACAAACAAAUACUAACAGUAGUGAACAGAGUUUAUGUGUUAAAACCAGAACUCCUAUUUAGACCGGCCUAAAUUUGUGACUACACUGAGAACCAAACGUCUUCCUGGUGGAUUUGAGGACAGCAGUAAAGACCUCAGAUAUGCUGGAUUAUCUCUCUAUCAGCAGAACUGACAUUCAUAAACUCGUCCAUCUUCACUUCUGAACUCCAGACUCGGUUUCAGACGUCGUGUUUCUCCUCUGAAUAAUCCCGGCUCUCUCGUCCUGCCCUGCUCUUCCUCUUUUAAUCUUCUUUCCUCGCUCCUCUUCCUCGCUCCUCACCUCAAUUACCUCCUCUCUCACCCUCAUCCAUCAGGGAUCGAUGGAGCUGAACCCGCUCGCUCUUUUCCUCCCUCUGAUACUCUCUGUUCAAUAAAGGCAGACGUGUUGUCACAUUGAUCCUGACGACUCGUCCUGCAGGUCAAACUCCAAUCAAAGCUCCUUCUGUUCGUCUGCAGACGCUCGGACAGUCAGCUGAUCAUAAACAGGCCGAUCUUUGAUUUCAGGACGUGUUGAAGGUUCGUUUCUGUCUUCGGAUGUUUGAGAUGCUCCAGUCCAGCUUUGUCGUUUGUGUUUGUUGGACUCCCCCUCCUCUGCAGAGAAGCUUCAUCAGGCUUUAAUGAGGUGAAGAGACGCCGAGCAGAUAAUGGAGGAGGGUUCAUUCUUCCUCGGAGUCUUUACAGCCUGCUGCACCGACUGUUUCUCAGCCAAAUAAGGAUCAUUUCCAUGAUUUAUUUAUCAGACUCUGGACUCUUCAAAGGUCCGGGUUUGUCGGUACCCAGAGUUAAAUCUACAAACAAAUGAGGUCCAAACACAGAGAUCUGGAUCUUUUUAGAGGAACUGUUGAUCCUGUCUGAGCAUCAUAGAUUCUCCUCCAGAAGAAAAAACUCUGAGAAGAAUCUAGAGGUCGAUUUGAGGGUCUACAAUCAUGAGGCGACAACUUCUGACCCCCAAUUUCCACCGCAUCCUGAACGACUUAAAAAAGGUCGUAUCCUCCGAUCGUAGCUGAUCGUAACUUGUGAUUAAACGUGAAUCCACGGGUUCUUGUGAGUGUCUGUAAUCCGCCACGAAAUUCGCCUCACAAACGGAUCCGGUAGGAAUUGACAGACGGUAAAAAUUGAAGAUCGGAGUCGUUCCAGAUGCAGUGGAAAUUCAGGGUUAGUCCC